UACGGAGGGUGCGAGCGUUGUCCGGAAUCAUUGGGCGUAAAGGGCGCGUAGGUGGUGGCUUAAGCGUGCGGUGAAAGCUCGGGGCUCAACUCCGAGUCGGCCGUGCGAACUGGGCUCACUGGAGCAUAGUAGAGGCAGGUGGAAUUCCGGGUGUAGCGGUGGAAUGCGUAGAGAUCCGGAAGAACACCGGUGGCGAAGGCGGCCUGCUGGGCAGUUGCUGACACUGAGGCGCGACAGCGUGGGGAGCAAACAGG
rnacentral:rRNA from 1 species